GAACGGAGACAGUCGCGGCGCGGCGGUGCGCUGGGGAGGUGGUGGUGUUCCGCACUAAUAUUUUGUAUUUUUCUCUGUUUCAUGCAGUGAGCUGGGUAAAUAUCGUAUGAGGAACUCAUUAGUAGUGUUUGUCCUCCCUGAAACAAGCGUUUGGUGUUGUCAGCUGCGGCCUGGAGCUUCGAGGGUCAGUGGAAACGUGGUCUGCAAUCGGCACGUGAACGCCACCACACACCAGCCAGAUGCGUGUGUUAGCGUUUAUCGCACCUCUUCUGGCGGCGUCUGUCUGCCAUGGGGAGAUAUUCACAGCUCUGGUGGACAUGGAACACCUGGCGUACACCGAGCGGGAGCUGCUGGGAAUGCUCGACAGGGCCAUCCAGGCGGAGGAACAGAAAAUUCAGACACUGAAAAAGUACAUGGAGCAGUACCAGCGUGUGAACCGGGAGCUGGUGGAUAACCAGGAGGCCUACCUCCAUAACCCUGUCAACGCCUACCUGGUGGUGAAGAGGCUGGCCGCCGACUGGAAAAUAGUCCAGGGAGUCAUCACUGAGAACGUCGGAUCCAAGUUUGUGGAGAACAUCACUCAGGUCUCGGAGUCACUCCGUAUUCCCGACGAUGAGGACCUGAACGGGGCAGCCAUGGCUCUCAUCAGACUCCAGGAUACCUACCGACUCAACACCGCCGACAUUGCGUCCGGUGAGAUUCAGGGCAGCCGUCUGAAGCGUCAGCUCACGGCCGGCGACUGCUUCGAGCUCGGCAGGCAGAGCUACAACAACGCUGACUUCAAACACACUGCGCUCUGGAUGGAGGAGGCCUGGAAGAUCUGGCGCUCCGAGUCGGACGAGCGUACGGCGCCUCUGGGCGACAUCCUCGAGUACCUGGCGUUCAGUACAUACAAGAUGGGGGACGUGGAGGGCGCGCUGAGGCUGACCAACCAGCUACUCGACGAGGAGCCCGGACACCCGCGCGGCGUCGGAAAUAAGGCGUACUACGAGCAGGAGCUGGCCAAGCAGGCGUCCACGGUGCGCCGUCAGAGGAAGGGCGAGACUGGGGAAGAGGAGGAUCUGGACGUCAGCGUCAGAGAGGGCUACACUGUCCCGGAGUCGACCGAGGAGGCCCGUCUUCCCGAGCGUGACAUGUACGAGGCCAUGUGUCGCGGGGAGAUCACCGUGCCGCCCAGCAAAGCCAGGAAACUGAAGUGUUACUACGCGCACAACUCGGCUCCGUUCCUGCUCCUGCAGCCGAUUCGCGCCGAGGACCUGUACCUGAAGCCGCACCUGGUCAUGUACCACGACGUGAUGUACGACUCCGAGAUCGAGGCCAUCAAGCAGCUUGCCUCGCCCAGGCUGGCGCGCGCCACCGUUCAGAACUCGAAGACGGGCCAGCUGGAGACGGCCAGCUACCGUAUCAGCAAGUCGGCCUGGCUCAAACAGGGAGAACACCCGCUGGUCGACCAGGUGAACCGCCGAGUGGCCCAGCUGACGGGCCUGAACCUGGACACCGCUGAGGAGCUGCAGGUGGUCAACUACGGAAUGGGCGGACACUACGAGCCCCACUUCGACUUCGCCAGGAAAGAGGAGACCAACGCUUUCAAGAGCCUGGGAACGGGCAACCGCAUAGCUACGUUCAUCUUUUAUAUGUCGGACGUGGAGGCGGGCGGCGCCACUGUGUUCCCGGAGAUCGGGGCCGCCGUGUGGCCUCGGAAGGGCUCGGCGGCGUUCUGGUACAACCUGCACCGCUCCGGGGAGGGCGACUACGACACGCGGCACGCCGCCUGUCCCGUGCUCAUCGGCAGCAAGUGGGAGCUUAGCGACGCUGGCAAACAUUUUCAUGGAGCUUCCGAGGCCUCUGAGGAGGUCGCCAAUUAACUCUCGAUGAACAACGCGGGGCCCAAGACCGAACCCUGCACAACACCGCUUAUGACGCUUGUGUAUCCAACAAGUGGAUCCACGAAAUUGGCCAGGAGUUUGCUCGUCCGUGCGGCCUAACGCCCGACGAGUGAUUGGGGGCGACAUCUGGCUAUCACUAGUUCAGAGCAUAUCGCCAGGUGUCACUGUCGGCUGUCCGGGGUUUGUAUGGCCGGACAGCCUGCGCCAUACUGAAAAAUCAACAGCCCGGCUAAGAUGAUAGGAAGAGUUUGAUGAUUUAUUUUGACAUAGUGCUGGCGGCCUAACUCAAAGCAUAUUUGACAUUGCAUUUGCCUAUUUGUAGCAGAAUGUAGAGCUGCGUGAAAAAUCACGCACAAAAAUCACUUACGCUCGUGUUAUUUUCGUCAGGGGCCCUUAACUCGAACUUUGUAAUUUGUGAGGCAUAACUUUUGACAAUUAUAUGUCCGCCGACAUAGGCUUAGAAGGCCUUUGCGCCGCUUUAGGAACCCUGUCACUGGUUUUAGGCCUUUGUGUCAGUAUAUUAUGCGCUAGCGGCGGGAAGUGACGAGAUUUGUAUCUGCGAUAUGUUUGUGAACGACCUUUGAGGUGGUUCAGCAGGGAAUACUUCACUGUAGGGGAAUGUGGAUUCUUUGAUCCAGGAUUGUUUUGAUACUAGUCGAUUCGUAAAGAGAUGGCCAUCAUUCGUUUGACUCUCUGCUGAUAACUGUAGCGUUUCUUCUUAAACAGUUAGUACCGCGAAAUACGGUGCGAAGCUUGCCCGAAUGACGCCAUACGAACUACUUUUAACUCGCUUCUGUUUUACUGGUUUGCGUGUUGAGUUAUCUUUCUGUAUUUGUCACAGAAUACCCCAUAGCCAGUAGCCACUUAGGUUGUAAAUAUAGCCUUCGAUUGUGAGCUGCUUAACUUUGCUUUUACUCACUUCAGUUGGCAUUUCUUUUCCUAAAAUAUUCGUUUGACGGGAUUCUCUAAUGUGUUUUCAGACGCUCUUUUGAGUGCACUUUUCCAAUUAGCCCUUACAUUUCAUAGCAAUAAUGGAUAUUGCCUUUUUUAUCAUCCUUCUACUUAAACCGAUUUCUUUCUAUUGUAAGCGGAGUGAUUCUCAUUAAAAACAAUGGUUACCAUUAGCCGCCAUCAUUGUCGUAACAUUUGUGACGUCACAAAUCUGAAAGUGACGUUAUGACAUCGUGUAAAUGUUUUAGGGAUGUGUGACAGGAAAAGAUAAAUCUUGGACAGAUGGUAUUGUGUUGGCUCGAUCAUUGCUUAUGUUAUUCUUCGUUUGCGAAAUGCAAAAGUGUAAUGAUUUGCUUCUGUAUUUGAUAACCGUUUUGGGUGAUUUCCGCCCUUUCGUUGGCGAUUUCUAUUUUGUGUUGGGGUAUUAUGUUCGUAUUUCCGGCUGGUAUUUUGCGCCUAUGUUAUGUGCUGGCUGUUUUAAAUAGGUAGCGCUCUCUGUAUUGGGUUUUGCUGUGUGCUUCUCUGAGCUUGAAUUUCGUGUUUGCCGAGCUGUGGAAUUGUGCGCAAUAAAGAGUCGAAACGGU
rnacentral:misc_RNA from 1 species